AUACGGAGGGGGCAAGCGUUGUUCGGAAUUACUGGGCGUAAAGGGCACGUAGGCGGAUUGUCAAGUCAGAGGUGAAAGCCCUGGGCUCAACCUGGGAACUGCCUUUGAAACUAACAGUCUAGAGGCCGAGAGAGGAUGGCGGAAUUCCCAGUGUAGAGGUGAAAUUCGUAGAUAUUGGGAAGAACACCAGUGGCGAAGGCGGCCAUCUGGCUCGGUACUGACGCUGAGGCGCGAAAGCGUGGGGAGCAAACAGGAUUAGAAACCCGAGUAGUCC
rnacentral:rRNA from 1 species